CUACUGCAGUUUCAUAUGCAAAGCAUGCAUCAGCCACAUCCAUGCUAUCUCCUAAAGCAGUCAUUCUGAAACCCAAUCUGGGGACAGUGCAGACUAAAUAAAAUUUCAUUUUGAUUUGGCCUCCCGCUGCGAAUGGGACUGCUUUGUCUCAGCCGACAGAACCAGCAAGCCAGAAAGGGAAUGAAGACAUUUGGAGAAGAAGCGUUUACUGAAAGGAGAUUCCUGGGCUGGAGGAAAACCAUGAUCUACAGUUCAUGUUGACAGAUAUUGUAUUUUUGGUCCUAGAUCUGACUUUUGAAAUGACUUAUCACAAAUUCAAAUUUAGCAAUCAUGAGUGAAGUACCCACGAUGUGCUAAGCAUCUACCUCUGCAGAUAGAAGAACACUUACUGUUCCUGAGCAUGGGAGGGAAUAGAAGUUCCUGGGUCCUGGCCUCACCUCAUCAGGCACUGCCAAAUUUGACACCUCCUUCCUGUUCACGGCAGUCCUUUGCGAUAGGGUAUUAGAUGCCACCAAGUAGCUGCAUAACUCACCCAUUUGGUCAGAGCCUGGGUCUAAGCCAGGUCUGACAGACUCCAAAGCAAGCCCUGUUUACAGCAUGACUGGGAUCCAGUGGACGAGGGAACUGAGCUGUCAAAACUAAGUGACUUGAUUGAGGCCAUGCAGCUGGCGAGGGGAGGACCAGGAUCUGAACCCAACUGGGUCUCCCAAGCCUGGGCCACUGAACCAUUUCACCUCUUGGAAAAACUUAAUGGUCAGAGUGGCCCACCCAGUCCAUGGACAGCAUGGAGGAUAAACUGCUUCCCUAGAAAUCCUCUCCAGCAUUCUUGCCACCACGACUUUGGGACACAUUGACCAUGAGGAGGAGCUGGUCAAUGAUGGACAGGAGUCCAGAUUAGCAGAGAUGUGGUAAUAAGGACACCGAUGCCUAAAUACUUGAAAUAUCCAAUAGGAAGCAUUCCACCUUUGUGCAAAUGCGAACCACAUCUCACCAAGUUCAGGCCAAGGCUGCCACCGGUGACGUUUUGGAAAAGAAAAAAAAAAGCGGGGGGAGAGGAGAGAAACAGAGAAGCAAGGAAUGCAGAAGAGAGCAGAGGCCACAAAAACAGCAGCAACGUGUCCUGUGUAUUCUGUUUCCUUGUAAAACUAUGAAGCAUGUUAAGGAGAUACUUCAUUUUUUGAGGAUUCAUACUCUUGUUUAUAUUAUAAUAAAAACAACCCAUGUUCUUUCUAAAAAUUUAGGCAAUGCCUUCGUGCACAUAAAAGUAAAACAAAAUCACCUGUAAUCCUACCACACGCAGAUCAGCACUUGCUAAUCUUUUCACAGGGAUCCUAAGAAUAUCCUAUUCUCUAUAGAAUAUAGUUGAUUUAUGUUACCUAAUAACUAACUGUUAACCAUUUUAAAAUUCUUCAGUUUUACAUUAUGCUAGAAAAAAGGAGCCGUCACUCUACGUGACAUUUCUGUAUAUUGGUUUAUUCAUUCAAUAAACAUUUUUUAAGUACCUA
rnacentral:lncRNA from 10 species